rnacentral:rRNA from 1 species
UGGUCGAGUCGGCCUGCGCGGAAGAUGUAACGGGGCUAAACCAUGCACCGAAGCUGCGGCAGCGACGCUGAUGCGUUGUUGGGUAGGGGAGCGUUCUGUAAGCCUGCGAAGGUGUGCUGUGAGGCAUGCUGGAGGUAUCAGAAGUGCGAAUGCUGACAUAAGUAACGAUAAAGCGGGUGAAAAGCCCGCUCGCCGGAAGACCAAGGGUUCCUGUCCAACGUUAAUCGGGGCAGGGUGAGUCGACCCCUAAGGCGAGGCCGAAAGGCGUAGUCGAUGGGAAACAGGUUAAUAUUCCUGUACUUGGUGUUACUGCGAAGGGGGGACGGAGAAGGCUAUGUUGGCCGGGCGACGGUUGUCCCGGUUUAAGCGUGUAGGCUGGUUUUCCAGGCAAAUCCGGAAAAUCAAGGCUGAGGCGUGAUGACGAGGCACUACGGUGCUGAAGCAACAAAUGCCCUGCUUCCAGGAAAAGCCUCUAAGCAUCAGGUAACAUCAAAUCGUACCCCAAACCGACACAGGUGGUCAGGUAGAGAAUACCAAGGCGCUUGAGAGAACUCGGGUGAAGGAACUAGGCAAAAUGGUGCCGUAACUUCGGGAGAAGGCACGCUGAUAUGUAGGUGAAGUCCCUCGCGGAUGGAGCUGAAAUCAGUCGAAGAUACCAGCUGGCUGCAACUGUUUAUUAAAAACACAGCACUGUGCAAACACGAAAGUGGACGUAUACGGUGUGACGCCUGCCCGGUGCCGGAAGGUUAAUUGAUGGGGUCAGCGCAAGCGAAGCUCUUGAUCGAAGCCCCGGUAAACGGCGGCCGUAACUAUAACGGUCCUAAGGUAGCGAAAUUCCUUGUCGGGUAAGUUCCGACCUGCACGAAUGGCGUAAUGAUGGCCAGGCUGUCUCCACCCGAGACUCAGUGAAAUUGAACUCGCUGUGAAGAUGCAGUGUACCCGCGGCAAGACGGAAAGACCCCGUGAACCUUUACUAUAGCUUGACACUGAACAUUGAGCCUUGAUGUGUAGGAUAGGUGGGAGGCUUAGAAGUGUGGACGCCAGUCUGCAUGGAGCCGACCUUGAAAUACCACCCUUUAAUGUUUGAUGUUCUAACGUUGACCCGUAAUCCGGGUUGCGGACAGUGUCUGGUGGGUAGUUUGACUGGGGCGGUCUCCUCCUAAAGAGUAACGGAGGAGCACGAAGGUUGGCUAAUCCUGGUCGGACAUCAGGAGGUUAGUGCAAUGGCAUAAGCCAGCUUGACUGCGAGCGUGACGGCGCGAGCAGGUGCGAAAGCAGGUCAUAGUGAUCCGGUGGUUCUGAAUGGAAGGGCCAUCGCUCAACGGAUAAAAGGUACUCCGGGGAUAACAGGCUGAUACCGCCCAAGAGUUCAUAUCGACGGCGGUGUUUGGCACCUCGAUGUCGGCUCAUCACAUCCUGGGGCUGAAGUAGGUCCCAAGGGUAUGGCUGUUCGCCAUUUAAAGUGGUACGCGAGCUGGGUUUAGAACGUCGUGAGACAGUUCGGUCCCUAUCUGCCGUGGGCGCUGGAGAACUGAGGGGGGCUGCUCCUAGUACGAGAGGACCGGAGUGGACGCAUCACUGGUGUUCGGGUUGUCAUGCCAAUGGCACUGCCCGGUAGCUAAAUGCGGAAGAGAUAAGUGCUGAAAGCAUCUAAGCACGAAACUUGCCCCGAGAUGAGUUCUCCCUGACCCUUUAAGGGUCCUGAAGGAACGUUGAAGACGACGACGUUGAUAGGCCGGGUGUGUAAGCGCAGCGAUGCGUUGAGCUAACCGGUACUAAUGAACCGUGAGGCUUAACCUU